UUGAACGCUGGCGGCAUGCCUUACACAUGCAAGUCGAACGGCAGCACGGGAGCAAUCCUGGUGGCGAGUGGCGAACGGGUGAGUAAUAUAUCGGAACGUGCCCGGUCGUGGGGGAUAACGUAGCGAAAGCUACGCUAAUACCGCAUACGAUCUACGGAUGAAAGCGGGGGAUCGCAAGACCUCGCGCGAUUGGAGCGGCCGAUAUCAGAUUAGGUAGUUGGUGAGGUAAAGGCUCACCAAGCCGACGAUCUGUAGCUGGUCUGAGAGGACGACCAGCCACACUGGGACUGAGACACGGCCCAGACUCCUACGGGAGGCAGCAGUGGGGAAUUUUGGACAAUGGGCGCAAGCCUGAUCCAGCAAUGCCGCGUGCAGGAUGAAGGCCUUCGGGUUGUAAACUGCUUUUGUACGGAACGAAACGGUGAGCUCUAAUACAGUUUGCCAAUGACGGUACCGUAAGAAUAAGCACCGGCUAACUACGUG
rnacentral:rRNA from 1 species